rnacentral:rRNA from 1 species
UACGUAGGGUGCGAGCGUUAAUCGGAAUUACUGGGCGUAAAGCGUGCGCAGGCGGUUUUGUAAGCCAGAUGUGAAAUCCCCGGGCUUAACCUGGGAAUGGCAUUUGGGACUGCAAGGCUGGAGUGUGGCAGAGGAGACUGGAAUUCCUGGUGUAGCAGUGAAAUGCGUAGAUAUCAGGAGGAAUACCGAUGGCGAAGGCAGGUCUCUGGGCUGACACUGACACUCAUGCACGAAAGCGUGGGGAGCAAACAGG